rnacentral:rRNA from 1 species
UUAGUGGCGGACGGGUGAGUAACGCGUGGAUAACCUGCCGUAUACUGGGGGAUAACACUUAGAAAUAGGUGCUAAUACCGCAUAAGCGCAUACAGCCGCAUGGCAGUAUGCGGAAAGCUCCGGCGGCACGGGAUGGGCCCGCGCCCGAUUAGCCAGUUGGCGGGGUAACGGCCCACCAAAGCGACGAUCGGUAGCCGGCCUGAGAGGGCGGACGGCCACAUUGGGACUGAGACACGGCCCAAACUCCUACGGGAGGCAGCAG